UGGAUGCAGAGGCUGGGGGCUGGUCAGCGAGGAACAAUGGUCAUUUGUGAAGGAGAGGACACUUGAGAGCUCGGUGUCUCUAUAACAGGAGGCAAAACCAUGUUCACCAAUAAGGUUUCAAUCCUUUAUUUAGUGAAACGAAGUGUUAGGGAACACAGAGGGGGUUUUUAAGAGCUUACACGUCCAUCAGAACCAGAGCCACGGUGUGGGAAGAGAACCGCAAGACAUUUCCUCAAAUACCUGUGGCUUUGUGACCCUAUCACCGAGGCAUACGGAAGGCACUGAGUAUUUUUCUGAAUGAGUGAAUGACACUUACGUAGUAGCCGAGUGCUUGGACAUCUGCCUCCAUCUGAAGCCAGGACUUCCUGAGAAUAAAUUGAGAUAAAGGCACUAACUCCUCCAGUCCUCACAACAGCCCGUGAGAACGGCACUUUUGUUUUAUCAUGGCCAUUUCACAGACACGGAACCCAAAUCAGGAGGAGCAACAACAAAAACAAACAAAAAACAAACAAACAAGAACAUAGUUCGAAGGAGAAAUGACUUGGCACCUGAGUUCAAGACUGUCUUAACCCAGAUGAAGGAAUCAAAGACCAGGAACACAAGCAAUUUGGUUACAAAGAAUUACACAGACGUGAAAUGAGAACGGAAGCAAUUUCUUCUGAACCCUAGAACCACCGGGCAGCAUUACCAUGAAGUGACCUUAGAAUCAGGGAUGGUCUGAGAAAACAUCGUUAGCUGAUGUGAGUAAAAAGCCAGCCAAUGUCUUUGAAAGACAAAACCAAACUAUGAAGAUCUAGGAAAGGCUAAGAUUUCACCUUUUGGAAUGUCACCUUGACACGGAGCUUUAAAGGGGGCCAGGAGAGGCAAGGAAACAAAAGAGAAAUUUUACACAAAUAUUCACCUUCAUACAAUGUACCAAAAUACGGAAAGAAGGCUUUUGCUUCGAGAAUGACCACAGAAAUGAUAAUUCCAAAGAAAAAAGAAAACAGUUCGAUUACCAAUACAAAAAUUAAUAAAUGGAAUAGCAUUAAGCAAUGCCAGAUUUCAGUGGUGAAACAGGUUCAGAAUUUAUACCCUAUGUUGUGCUCUGACCACUAAACAACAUACAGCUUCCAGAAACCACAGACUGCAUUAUAGGUGACACCAGGGCUAUGCUGUUUGAGUUUUCUCAAAUCGUUGCAAAUCUCCAAAAAUUUUUCCAAUAUAAUUUUUUAAAAAAUUCUA